AGGAGGAUUUUGUACGAAUUAAACACUUAAUCAAGCACAGAGAUAAAAGUUUCUGGUUUCUCUAACAAACAUUAUUAUGGGAUGUUU